rnacentral:rRNA from 1 species
GACGAACGCUGGCGGCGCGCUUAACACAUGCAAGUCGAGCGAGAACCGGUUCUUCGGAACCGGGGAGAGCGGCGAACGGGUGAGUAACACGUGAGUAAUCCACCCUCGGCACUGGGGUAGCCCGGGAAACCCGGAUUAAUACCGGAUGGCCCAGCAGCGCUCUUCGGGGCGGCUGGAAAAGGUAGCUUUGGCCUCCGGCCGAGGACGAGCUCGCGGCGGAUUAGCUUGUUGGUGGGGUAAUGGCCUACCAAGGCGACGAUCCGUAGCUGGUCUGAGAGGACGAUCAGCCACACUGGGACUGAGACACGGCCCAGACUCCUACGGGAGGCAGCAGUGGGGAAUCUUGCACAAUGGGCGAAAGCCUGAUCGAGCGACGCCGCGUGCGGGAUG